GCAAGUCGAGCGGUAGAGAGAAGCUUGCUUCUCUUGAGAGCGGCGGACGGGUGAGUAAUGCCUAGGAAUCUGCCUGGUAGUGGGGGAUAACGUUCGGAAACGGACGCUAAUACCGCAUACGUCCUACGGGAGAAAGCAGGGGACCUUCGGGCCUUGCGCUAUCAGAUGAGCCUAGGUCGGAUUAGCUAGUUGGUGGGGUAAUGGCUCACCAAGGCGACGAUCCGUAACUGGUCUGAGAGGAUGAUCAGUCACACUGGAACUGAGACACGGUCCAGACUCCUACGGGAGGCAGCAGUGGGGAAUAUUGGACAAUGGGCGAAAGCCUGAUCCAGCCAUGCCGCGUGUGUGAAGAAGGUCUUCGGAUUGUAAAGCACUUUAAGUUGGGAGGAAGGGUUGUAGAUUAAUACUCUGCAAUUUUGACGUUACCGACAGAAUAAGCACCGGCUAACUCUGUGCCAGCAGCCGCGGUAAUACAGAGGGUGCAAGCGUUAAUCGGAAUUACUGGGCGUAAAGCGCGCGUAGGUGGUUAGUUAAGUUGGAUGUGAAAUCCCCGGGCUCAACCUGGGAACUGCAUUCAAAACUGACUGACUAGAGUAUGGUAGAGGGUGGUGGAAUUUCCUGUGUAGCGGUGAAAUGCGUAGAUAUAGGAAGGAACACCAGUGGCGAAGGCGACCACCUGGACUGAUACUGACACUGAGGUGCGAAAGCGUGGGGAGCAAACAGGAUUAGAUACCCUGGUAGUCCACGCCGUAAACGAUGUCAACUAGCCGUUGGGAGCCUUGAGCUCUUAGUGGCGCAGCUAACGCAUUAAGUUGACCGCCUGGGGAGUACGGCCGCAAGGUUAAAACUCAAAUGAAUUGACGGGGCCCGCACAA
rnacentral:rRNA from 1 species